rnacentral:rRNA from 1 species
GGGCCCGCACAAGCGGUGGAGCAUGUGGUUUAAUACGUCACUAACCGUAGAACCUUACCCAGGCUUGACAUCUGGGGAAUCCUGAUGAAAGUCGGGAGUGCCUUUGGGAGCCUCAAGACAGGUGUUGCAUGGCUGUCGUCAGCUCGUGUCGUGAGAUGUUGGGUUAAGUCCCGCAACGAGCGCAACCCUCAUCCGAUGUUGCCAGCGUAAAGUCGGGAACUCUUCGGAAACUGCCCGUGUAAGCGGGAGGAAGGUGGGGAUGACGUCAAGUCAGCAUGGCCCUUACGCCUGGGGCUACACACAUGCUACAAUGGACGCUAACAAAGGGCAGCAAUACCGCGAGGUGGAGCGAAUCUCAUAAAUGCGUCCUCAGUUCGGAUUGUAGUCUGCAACUCGACUACAUGAAGUCGGAAUCGCUAGUAACCGCAGGUCAGCUAAACUGCGGUGAAUACGUUCCCGGGCCUU